ensembl:snoRNA
GAGCAGUGAUGGAGAGGUUUCACUAUGGACCUUUAUAACUAUGAAGAUUUCUACACUUGAACUGAACUCA